UUUCCCUCAGGAUUUGGAGUAAUUAUAAAGCUGUUAUAUUCGGUAAAGCGAAUGAUAAGAGAAAUUGCGGGACGAAACGUCUUCCACCCAUUCUCAAACUUUCAAUGAGUAUGACAUCUUGCUUGCUUGGAUGAAGUUUAGACAAUGAAUGUCUGCUUCACGUCGGCCAUUUUUGGUAAACAGAAUUGGCGCUGUGAGAUGAAUCA
rnacentral:ncRNA from 1 species